rnacentral:rRNA from 1 species
CAUUGAAAGCUUUGGGCGGAUGCCUUGGCAGAGCAGAAGAGAGACGUUACACACAACGAAAUGCCGUGGGGAGGCUUGUAAUCCCUGAGAUCCAUGGCUUUCUCGUCGGGAAACCUUAAUAUAGAAAUACCUAGUGAAUUGAAACAUCUUAGUAGCUAGAGGAAAAGAAAUCAACCGAGAUCCCGUUAGUAGUGGUGAGCGAACCCGGGGAAGGCCAGCUCUUUGCUCAUCUUUUGUUCAAUCAGACGAUCUUGGGUCAGGCCCCAUUCGGCGUCUUGCCGAACAGGGCCUGCCCUUGUGAGGCCAGUUGAUGGAGAUGAGGGGUGUGCAGAUUCACCGCCGCAAAUGGUAAUGGUGUAGAUUUGCCACCCAUGCAUUGCUAUGUGAUGCGCCAUACGUUUCCAGGGCGAGGGAUCAAAAUAAGGAGUGGAACCCCAUGCCAUAGAAGGUGAAAGCCCUGUAGAUCUUAGCCCUUCAAGGAUCCCCUCCCCCCUCUUGCUGCGCUUGCUGCUGCUGCAAGCAGCAGCAAGGGGGGAAUAGAUGUCAGGUUCUUGAGGAAGCAGAAAUGACAAAAGAGUGAGUAGAGCGAGAAACAUAUCUUGCUUGAAUAUAGGGGUACCACCCUCUAAGCCUAAUCAUGCUGCUCUGACCGAUAGUGAACUAGUACCGUGAGGGAAAGGAGAAACAGCACCCCAGGUGGGGAGUGAAAGAGAUACUGAAACCCAAUGCUUACAAACAGUUGAAGCUUGUUCAAUCUGCCCUUUCACUAUGUGCAAGGGCCCCAAGAUUGACGAGUGCCAGCGUACCUUUUGCAUAAUGGGUCAGCGAGUAAGUUGUUGCAGCAAGCUUAAGUCAUUGGACGUAGGCGUAGCAAAAGCGAGUCUCCACAGGGCGCCUGAGUUGCAUCAACUUUACCCGAAACCGGGUGAUCUAGCCAUGAGCAGGUUGAAAGGGGGGUAACACCUCCUGGAGGACCGAACCCGUGUCUGUGGCAAUAGGCAGGGAUGACUUGUGGCUAGGGGUGAAAAGCCAAUCGAACUCGGAGAUAGCUGGUUUUCUGCGAAACCCAUUUAGGUGGGGCGUAAAAUAGAUUCCCUAUCCUCUAGGCCUGCGCCUUGAGGUUUACUCAAGGCGCAGGCCUAGAGUUAUCCUUGCAUGGCUCUGCCAUGCAUGGGGGUAGGAAUGGUGAGAGGGGUAGAGCACUCCAUGGGAAAGGGUGGCCCAAAGCCUUACCGAUUCCAAGGAAACUCCGAAUACUCUUACCAAUCUUUUACAGACAGGCUUUGGGUGCAAAGGUCCAAAGCCGAGAGGGAAAGAGCCCAGACCGUACGCUAAGGUCUCGAAGAGAUAACUAAGUGGGAAAGGAAGUUCUUGGGCAGAGACAACCAGGAGGUGGGCUUAGAAGCAGCCAUCCUUUGAAGAAAGCGUAAUAGCUCACUGGUCUAGCCCAAAUGCGCCGAAAAUGUAACGAGGCUGAAGUUAUCCACCGAAGCGACGGCUCCUGCUGGGGCAGGGGGGUAGCAGAACGUCCUGUAAAUCGUUGAAGGUGAGCUGUCAAGCUUGCUGGAGAUAUCAGGAGUGAGAAUGCUGACAUGAGUAACGUGAAAUCAUGUGGAAUUCAUGAUCGCCGCAAGUUCUAGGGUUCCCACAGAUGUAAUUCGAUGUGGGUUGAGUCGGCCCCUAAGGGUAGAGCGAAGGCUUCUCCCGAUGGGCACCUCCCAAGUGACGAGGCCCUUGCACAUAGUGCGCGCAUUGCAAAACAAUGCAAGGGAAAGGGUAGAAGAUAUCGGAUGUCGCUACCAUCCCAGGGCCUCCUGGAAAGAACUUGGGGGCUGCAUCGCUCCCUUGCACAACUUGCCGGGCAGAGCUCUACAAGUUGUGCAAAGGGGGCGGUGCGCAAUCAGCAAUGGUUGGCAGACCGUACCUAAACCGACACAGGUGAACUGGUUUAGCAAACCAAGGCGAUAGGGAAAACCAUGUUGAAGGAACUCGGCAAAUUGACUCCGUAACUUCGGGAUAAGGAGGGCCUCCCUGCUCAAAGGCAGGGGGGCGGCACAGAAUAGGGGGUGGCGACUGUUUAUUAAAAACACAGGACUCAGCAAAAUGGCAACAUCAAGUAUUGGGUCUGACGCCUGCCCGGUGCUGGCAGCUAAAAGGGAGGGGUGGCAUCGAUCUAGCUGCAUCAUUCUCAAGGCCAAGGGCCUUGAGUCCAGAUGGUGCAGCUCCUUCGAGAGAGCUCUCAACUGAAGGUCCAGUAAACGGCGGCCGUAACUCUGACGGUCCUAAGGUAGCGAAAUUCCUUGUCAGGUAAGUUCUGACCUGCAUGAAUGGCGUCACGACUGCCCCGCUGUCUCCAACAUGGGCUCAGUGAAAUUGAAAUCUCCGUGCAGAUGCGGAGUUCCCAAAAAAAGACGGUAAGACCCUAUGCACCUUUACUGCAAUUUGUUGCUGAGGGAAGGGGUGCACUGUGUAGAAUAGGUGGGAGUUCUCCCCCUCCAUUGGCAGCAGCACCAGGUGUCGAGCGAUGCUCGGCAAGUGGUGCUGCUCCAAGCCCAGGGGCUGGACAGCGUUGAAAUACCACCCUUUACACCUCGUCCUUCUAAUCUGGGUAAAUAUAGAGACAACAGCAAAUGGGUAGUUUCAUUGGGGCGAUGGCUUUCUAAAGAGUAACGAAAGCGUGCGAAGGUAGACUCAAGCUGGUCGGAAACCAGUGGAAGAGCGCAAUGGUACAAGUCUGCCUGACUGCAAGACCAACAAGUCGAGCAGGGACGAAAGUCGGCCAUAGUGACCCGGGAGCACUGCGUGGAAUGGCUCUCGCUCAACGGAUCAAAGGUACGCUAGGGAUAACAGGCUAAUGACUCCCAAGAGCUCAUAUCGACGGAGUCGUUUGGCACCUCGAUGUCGACUCAUCGCAUCCUGGGGCUGGAGAAAACGAUUUAAACCUUCUCUCUCCAGGGGAAACCCUGGAGUAAUAAACGAGCUCAAAACGGUGAAGGCUCUUGACAGGUUUGCGGGGAAGGGAGCGAAGGUGAACUAAACGAAAGAUCUAUGUCAAGAGUUAAUACCGUGGGAAGAACACUCUCCCAAGCACACGCUGCAUACCUGGCCGGCAUGUUUGACUCAGAUGGCGCUAUCAUGGCAAUUAUAGAGCCAACGAGAUCGCUCUCAUUAGGGUGCCGUGUCCGCAUAGUCCUCAAGUCGACCCAGAAAUCACCAACCCACCUAAGGAUGCUGAUAAGGCAUGUGGGUGUGGGCGGCCUUGUCAAGAACAGGACCACCUGGGAUUGGUUGAUACGGGAGAGGGGCGCUACCAGGUGGCUCCUCUACCAGAUUGUGGGGCAGACAUUGGUGAAGCGGGCACAGUGCAGGAUAGCCCUGCGCAUACUCUCGAUGGAGGUGAAAGACAGGCAUGACCUGGCUAGGGUCUGCAGGUGGGCGGACGCUUUGUCACAGUUGAACCCGCGCUCCAAGCUGCGCAGGCGCAACACAUGGUCAAAGGUCUCGGAGGGGGUUCCCCGUAACGACUGAUCCCACGGGGAAUUGGGCCUGUGGGUGAGAUAGCUGCCCCAGAGUUGCCAUAAGACUGGGCUGCCUAUCACACGGCUCGCACCUAAGUGGGUGCAAGUGAUUGCAUGCUGCAUGGUGAUGGUAUAGUCUUACCCCGUCAGUGAUGGCGGAAGGUUGAGGUCCCAAGGGUUCGGCUGUUCGCCGAUGAAAGCGGUACGUGAGUUGGGUUUAGUGCGCCGAGAGGCAGUACGGUUCCUAUCUUUUUUGGGUGUUUGAAACUGAGAGAAUCAUUCCUUUGUACGAGAGGACCGGGAAUGGUAAACCUCUGGUCUACCAGUUGUUGCGCCAGCAGCAUCGCUGGGUAGCUACGUUUAGAUCGAGUAACUGCUGAAAGCCUAUCAAGCAGGAAAUCGUGUCUCAAAACAAGUUUCUGAGCUCGUAGAAGAUCACUACGGAAUAGGCGGGGAGUGGAAGCGCAGCAAUGUGCGAGCUUAUCCGUACUAAUGGGCUGAAUAAUUGCAUCCUACACCCCGUGCAUCACAGAGUGAUGCCCCAAAAAGGGGGAUGCUUGGCAUCUUUAUAUA